rnacentral:rRNA from 1 species
CAGCCGCCGCGGGAAUACGUAGGUGGCAAGCGUUGUCCGGAAUUAUUGGGCGUAAAGGGCUCGCAGGCGGUUUCUUAAGUCUGAUGUGAAAGCCCCCGGCUCAACCGGGGAGGGUCAUUGGAUACUGGGAAACUUGAGUGCAGAAGAGGAGAGUAGAAUUUCACGUGUAGCGGUGAAAUGCGUAGAGAUGUGGAGGAACACCAGUGGCGAAGGCGACUCUCUGGUCUGUAACUGACGCUGAGGAGCGAAAGCGUGGGGAGCGAACAGGAUUAGAUACCCCUGUAGUCCCUGUCUCUUAUAC